rnacentral:misc_RNA from 1 species
CGGGAGGAUGAUGAUAAUUGUUUUGUUUUUAGUCUUGUGUUGUGAAGGUAUGACUGUGCAGAGACGGCCUCAUAGCCCAUUAAUGUUUUUGUGUUUAUUCCAGUGCUGUAUCUGCUUUGUUUUCAUCCUGAUAUAGGGAUUUAACAGAAUCGCGUGUCCUUGAUGAUUUCCCAAUUCAAUGGAGCUUAAUUUAUUAACUUGAUGAAUGAUUAGGAGCAUUGGAUACCAAGAAUGUCAUGAGAGAUGCUUUUGCCAGUUGUACAAUUUCUUCCUGCAAAGUGG